AGCGCGCGGGGAGCCACCUCCCGAGGCGGAAGCGAAAGCGCCGCCGGGCCGCGGCCUUGGAGACGCGGGGGCGGGGCCGGCAGAGAAGCGCGACCUUUGACCGCGGCGGGGCUCCGUGGGAGGCGGCGGGCGGAAGUGCGGGCAGCGGGUGGCCAUGGAGGAGCCUGUUCGCGACGGGGUGGCCUCGCCGGCCGCUCCUGGGACCGGGAAAUCCAAGUUCUGUGCCACCGCGGUGAGAGGUGCCUGGGUUUGUUUGCUGCGCAAUGAUACACAAGUCCAGUCAUCUCAGAUGGGGCCAUUCUCCAUCAGCGGACAACAGCCUCCCCAAGGCAGGUGCGCAGGAGACCAGAACACCUGCUGAGCCAAGAGUGUGGUCUUGAGACCCCUGAGCUCAGUAAAGUGGUGUCUGCCACUGAGGUUUCUGGUUGAUUCACAGCAUUAUUAUGGCAGUAAAUAACGGAUAUUGCUGCUUAUGUUUUUUAACUCCCAUUUUUCAGUUACAUUUCUAUUUGGAAUAGUGUGGUAAAGUAGAUGUCAAU